GAACGUGAACAGACGCUGUCUGGCAGCUCUCGUAAAAACUGACUGGAGAAGAGAUUCUGAGUCAUUUCAUUUAUUGCCACCACAGUCCUGCAAGAAAGCUACCCCCUUCCUCCUCACAAUUUUUUGUUAAAGAUUAUUAACCAGUAUGAUAAUAGAAGCUACAAGAUCAAUCUUCAGGCCACAGAAAUCAGUUGUAAUUCAAUGGAGAGACUUUCAGAACAACAAGACCAAGAAGAGAGAACAUACAGCAUGGUUGGUGUAUAGAGGAGCAGAGUGUGCACGACAAUCGAAAAAGAUGAAUGGAUGAAUUCUCCGAGCACUGGACGGUUUACAAAACAGAAAAUUAAAUAUAUUUUUAUUAAUUGUAAUUAUAAUUCUAAAUCCUAAAGUAACACAGGAAGCUCUCAAGUAAAUACAAACAAGGACAUACUGGAUUUCUAUCUCACUGUUACUAGAACUCCUAAAUGUACUUCAAAAUAAAAUGCCAAACGGUAGCUCUGCCUUCAGUGACGACUUUUAUGUUUUCUAAAAAUCCAUUCCUACAUCUGUGUUACACCAUCUAGUUGAGAGACGUAAAGGAAGUAGUAAACACACGCAUGCCCUAUCAUAUAAAUGCAUUUAAACAAUAUAUAAAGCAUACCUUGAGUAGUCUGUCCCUGUAUUUCAUACAUU